rnacentral:rRNA from 1 species
UACGUAGGGUGCAAGCGUUAAUCGGAAUUACUGGGCGUAAAGCGUGCGCAGGCGGUUGUGCAAGACAGAUGUGAAAUCCCCGGGCUCAACCUGGGAACUGCAUUUGUGACUGCACGGCUAGAGUGUGUCAGAGGGGGGUAGAAUUCCUGGUGUAGCGGUGAAAUGCGUAGAUAUCAGGAGGAACACCGGCGGCGAAGGCGGCCCUCUGGAUCGUUGCUGACGCUGAUACGCGAAAGCGUGGGGAGCAAACAGG